rnacentral:rRNA from 1 species
UACGUAGGAUCCAAGCGUUGUCCGGAUUUACUGGGUGUAAAGGGUGCGCAGGCGGACUUGUUAGUCAGAGGUGAAAUCUCACGGCUCAACCGUGAAACUGCCUUUGAUACUGCAGGUCUUGAAUUGGGGAGAGAGUUGUGGAAUUCCGAGUGUAGCAGUGAAAUGUGUAGAUAUUCGGAAGAACACCAGUGGCGAAGGCAAGCAACUUGGCCCCAGAUUGGACGCUCAGGCACGAAAGCAUGGGGAUCAAACAGGAGUUAGAAU